UUCAAAAAGAAUCUAGAAAGGUACUGAAGUUGAUGUGGUAUUUGACGACAAUAAAGAUGGAACAAGCCAAAACUGGUUAUAAAGCUUGAUAAACACAAGAGGUAUGCUAGUGUGCCACUAGGCCGAAGACCAUACUUGGGCCACAGAAAUUAGUAGGACGCACCAGCGUGCAUGUGUUUUUAAACAUAUAUCCAUUCCCAUUUGGCCAUCAUCAUAUAAGACAUACCUACGCCAUAAGCAGUCCUGGCAUAAGUUUAGAAUAACAUAACUUAUUCUGUCAAUCAGUGCUGGUGCCAUUUUUCUCAUACACCAUUAUAUAUAUUAUGUGGAUUAGGAGGCAUGAGGGAAGAAACAAUAUGGAUUGACCGUUCGUGAAUAUCCACCGAAUUUCGAGUGAGCAUAAAGCAUGAGACCAUGGCAAACUGUGUUGUGACCGGAUGCUCCUUGACCACCACGACACCAGACUGGUGGCCACUGGCCAGAAGUCACGCUGCAUGCAAGCUGCGGAGGACUACGGAGCUGUUUGGUUGCCAGCCCUAGUUUGCCACGUCAAAGGUGUGACGAGCCACAACCUUCUAAGCGUGUGUUUGCUUCCGUACUAAGGUCUGGCUCGCCACAACGAAUGAGGGAUUCUUCAAUAGAAAUUUUUGCCCAAGGUGUGGCGCUGGUUCUGUCCGCCACAGUUUCUAUGACGCGUCACAGGUGUGGCUGACACCUAAACUUAGGCGUGGUAAAUUAAGUCUGAAACCAAACAGGGCCUACAUACACAUGUGUGCACAUGCUCGUCGCUGGCGAGCCUGUCAAUGCUGAAGAGCUGAGCGGGGCACACACUGCAGAAGUCGUGCUGGUGCGUGCUACAGCGGGGCCGGUGCAUGUCGGACUACACAUACACAGUGUGCCUGCAUGCACCAGCGGCUCUGCUUAGGUGGCCGGUUUGUAUGAAGAGUUGAAGACAUGACAUUGUAGGUGGAGCCUGCUGUCUUCGACGACAAUGUGACAACAAGGGUGUUAGUGACAAUAGUGGAUACUAGCGGCCAGAGGCCCGUGGGAAGCUGAUGCAUCCGAUUUUUUUGGGUUAUUUUGUUGAAAUAAAAAGGAAUAAUGAAUCAGGAGAGGAGUUGAGCUAGUAUAAGUUUUUGUCUACCUAGAAGUUCCAUUCAGGUCUAACAGAUCAUGGACAUUUUCAUGAAUCAUU
rnacentral:lncRNA from 1 species